rnacentral:piRNA from 1 species
UCCUCGCUUCAUUUUCCUCUUCUUUUGUCU